rnacentral:rRNA from 1 species
UACGUAGGGGGCAAGCGUUGUCCGGAAUCAUUGGGCGUAAAGCGCGCGUAGGCGGCCCGAUAAGUCCGCUGUAAAAGUCCAGGGCUCAACCCUGGAAAGCCGGUGGAUACUGUCGGGCUAGAGUCCGGAAGAGGCGAGUGGAAUUCCUGGUGUAGCGGUGGAAUGCGCAGAUAUCAGGAGGAACACCGAUGGCGAAGGCGGGUCUCUGGACAGUUCCUGACACUGAGGCACGAAGGCCAGGGGAGCAAACGGG